UGUGGAAUUUUGCACAAUGGGGGAAACCCUGAUGCAGCGACGCCGCGUGAUUUAGAAGGCCUUCGGGUUGUAAAAAUCUUUUCUAUGGGAAGAAAAUGACGGUACCAUAGGAAUAAGGACCGGCUAAUUACGUGCCAGCAGCCGCGGUAAUACGUAAGGUCCGAGCGUUGUCCGGAAUCAUUGGGCGUAAAGGGUACGUAGGCGGGUAAGCAAGUUAGAAGUGAAAUCCUAUAGCUCAACUAUAGUAAGCUUUUAAAACUGCUCAUCUUGAGGUAUGGAAGGGAAAGUGGAAUUCCUAGUGUAGCGGUGAAAUGCGCAGAUAUUAGGAGGAAUACCGGUGGCGAAGGCGACUUUCUGGCCAUAACCUGACGCUGAGGUACGAAAGCGUGGGUAGCAAACAGG
rnacentral:rRNA from 1 species